GUUAAAACAUUUUUGUGUGUGUGUGAGCAUUAAUCAGACACGUGUUCUGUGUGUUCUGCUCCAGAUGAUGUAAUAUUCCUCUGUUUUUCUCCUUACUUCAUGUGUAUUCCUCUCCUUCCCUCCCAGACUGGAAGGUUCUGAAGAACAGGAAGUUUCUGUGCUCUGUGAACGAACAGAAUAUUCACACCAAGAGCAAACCGGUGAUUCAGGAAAUAGACCCUAAAAAUACUAACACACCUCCAGAACCAGCCAAAUGGCCAGAGUUCUGUCUGCUAGUGGAACCCCCUAGGUGAUCCAGAGUUUCUGAUAGCAGAGAUACAGUUGCCUGGAGUUUUGAGACACAAGCCCAGUCCUAAACACAUCCCUCUCCUUCUAUACUCUGUGUUUAAAAACCUCUUAAGGAUCAGGCCCUUUUCAAUUUCUGCCUAAAUUGACAUACCCAAAUUUAACUG